rnacentral:rRNA from 1 species
AGUAAAAGUCGUAACAAGGUUUCCGUAGGUGAACCUGCGGAAGGAUCAUUACCACACCUAAAAAACUUCCACGUGAACCGUAUUAACAACUUUAAUUGGGGGCGAUCUCGGUAGUGGCUACUAGUCUUUGGCUGGUGGCUAUAACUGGUUGAGCCUCAUCAUGGCGAAACAUUGGACUUGUCUAAUGUAGUAGCAAAAAUUAUAAACCCUUACUUCAUUACUGAUACUGUGGGGACGAAAGUCUCUACUUAAAUUCCACAUACAACUUUCAGCAGUGGAUGUCUAGGCUCGCACAUCGAUGAAGAACGCUGCGAAUUGCGAUACGUAAUGCGAAUUGCUAAAUUCAGUGGGUCAUCGAAAUUUUGAACGCAUAUUGCACUUCAGGGGCUAGUUCCUCGAAGUAUGCCUCUAUCAGUGUCCACACAACAAACUUGGUUUACUUCUUUCCGUGUAUUCGGUGGAGGUUAUGCCAGAUAUGAAGUGUCUUGCGGAUGGUUUUCGAACUGACUGCGAGUCCUUUUAAAUAUAUAGAACCGUACUUCUCAUGCUAGAAAAGCGUGACGAUACU